rnacentral:pre_miRNA from 1 species
AUCACCUGGGGAUCCUGUUAAAAUGAAGAUGGUGAUUCAGUAGGUCUAGAGUGGGGCCUGAGAGUCUGCAUUUGUAACAAGUUCCCAGUGAUGC